rnacentral:rRNA from 1 species
UAUGCUUGUCUCAAAGAUUAAGCCAUGCAUGUCUAAGUAUAAACAACUUUAUACUGUAAAACUGCGAACGGCUCAUUAUAUCAGCAAUAAUUUAUUUGAUGGUUUCUUACCCCAUGGAUAACUGUGGUAAUUCUAGAGCUAAUACAUGCGUAAAAUCCCGACUCUUUCUGGGGAGGGAUGUAUUUAUUAGAUAAAAAACCAAUGCGGGUUCUGCCCGGUUUUGUGUUGAAUCAUAGUAACUUUUCGAAUCGCAUGGCUUCACGCCGGCGAUAGUUCAUUCAAAUUUCUGCCCUAUCAGCUUUCGACGGUAGUGUAGUGGACUACCGUGGCGUUAACGGGUAACGGAGAAUUAGGGUUCGAUUCCGGAGAGGGAGCCUGAGAAACGGCUACCACAUCUAAGGAAGGCAGCAGGCGCGCAAAUUACCCAAUUCUGACACAGAGAGG